CCAGACUCCUACGGGAGGCAGCAGUGGGGAAUAUUGGACAAUGGGGGGAACCCUGAUCCAGCGACGCCGCGUGAGUGAAGAAGUAUUUCGGUAUGUAAAGCUCUAUCAGCAGGGAAGAAGAAAUGACGGUACCUGACUAAGAAGCCCCGGCUAACUACGUGCCAGCAGCCGCGGUAAUACGUAGGGGGCAAGCGUUAUCCGGAUUUACUGGGUGUAAAGGGAGCGUAGACGGUUAUGCAAGUCUGGAGUGAAAGGCGGGGGCUCAACCCCCGGACUGCUCUGGAAACUGUAGAACUAGAAUGCAGGAGGGGUAAGUGGAAUUCCUAGUGUAGCGGUGAAAUGCGUAGAUAUUAGGAGGAACACCAGUGGCGAAGGCGGCUUACUGGACUGUAACUGACGUUGAGGCUCGAAAGCGUGGGGAGCAAACAGGAUUAGAUACCCUAGUAA
rnacentral:rRNA from 1 species